AUUCUUAUAGUUGAAAUACAACAAUGGUUUUUCAUAUCAUUAGUCAUGGUUACAGUCCAUGUGGGAAUA
rnacentral:tRNA from 2 species